CUCGACCGGGCUGCAGCCAGUGCAGGAUGCACACGGAGAAAAUCCAGCACACACAGAACGUGGGCUGCUCUGCACUCCUAAAAGCAAUGACGACUUAAAAUCCACGCUGCUACCUGCUCUUUUGAGGUCUCCAGAUGGCUGUGAUGUAAAGAACAUCCUGCGUGAAUUUCUUAGGAGUAAACAGUCCCUAUUGACUUCAAAGAGGAAUGCCUAUGAUUCUCGGAUUAUUGCAAUCAGAGCCCCCUCCUAAUGCCAACAUCAUCACCUUCCAUGGGGAAGACACACAGGAGUCCCCCUUCAGCUGCUGGGAGUUACAUAGGCAGGGCAUAGCAUUACAUAAACCCCCUUUUUGCACCAAUUUAUGGCAGAACUCAUGUAGAUGCAAACCACGGCACUCCAGUACAGCCCAGGCCAGCUUUCCCUGCAGAGCAUCCCUUUCCUCCUCCCAGCCAGAUUAUACUCCUGUUAUGUCGAACGUACGGUAUGCAAAGGGACAUCUACUACAAGUCCAAACUAUUACAAGAGAACAGACAGACUGAAGAAUGCAAAGCCGGGGGGGUGGGGAGGGGGGGGGGCGGGGCGGGAAGAGGGGAGCGGAGGGAGAAGUAUUAAAACCACCAACAGUCAGUCAAUACACAUGGAAACACUGCAUGCUGCCAAAGAACAUUUACCUGUAGGUAAAGCAUACAGUAGCGUCAGACUUCUAUUAAACAACAAAAAGAAGUUACCGUUUAUUGUCGUGGUUGUCAGUCCCUGUGGUCUGUCUGCGUUGUCUAAACCUGAAAAUAGACAGAAAAAAAAAGGGGAGGGGAGCAGAAAAAUAGCAAAGGAUCGUAAUUUAAACACUCUCAGUGUUUGGUUCUUGUUCGUGAAAAUAUAUAAGAGCAGGUAA
rnacentral:lncRNA from 1 species